rnacentral:tRNA from 1 species
GACACAAUAGCUUAAUUGGUAAAGCAACCGAAUCUUGAUCCCGGAGGUUGAAGAUUGGCAUCCUUCUUUUGUCG